UUGACGGGACCGCACAAGCGGUGGAUGAUGUGGAUUAAUUCGAUGCAACGACGAAAAACCUUACCUACCCUUGACAUGUCAGGAAUCCUGGAGAGAUUCGGGAGUGCUCGCAAGAGAACCUGAACACAGGUGCUGCAUGGCUGUCGUCAGCUCGUGUCGUGAGAUGUUGGGUUAAGUCCCGCAACGAGCGCAACCCUUGUCAUUAAUUGCCAUCAUUGAGUUGGGCACUUUAAUGAGACUGCCGGUGACAAACCGGAGGAAGGUGGGGAUGACGUCAAGUCCUCAUGGCCCUUAUGGGUAGGGGCUUCACACGUCAUACAAUGGUCGGUCCAGAGGGUUGCCAACCCGCGAGGGGGAGCCAAUCUCAGAAAGCCGAUCGUAGUCCGGAUCGCAGUCUGCAACUCGACUGCGUGAAGUCGGAAUCGCUAGUAAUCGCGGAUCAGCAUGUCGCGGUGAAUACGUUCCCGGGUC
rnacentral:rRNA from 1 species